GACGUAGGGCGCGAGCGUUGUCCGGAUUUAUUGGGCGUAAAGAGCUCGUAGGCGGCUUGUCGCGUCGGCUGUGAAAACCCGCGGCUCAACUGUGGGCGGGCAGCUGAUACGGGCAGACUAGAGUGCGGUAGGGGAGAUCGGAAUUCCUGGUGUAGCGGUGAAAUGCGCAGAUAUCAGGAGGAACACCGGUGGCGAAGGCGGAUCUCUGGGCCGUAACUGACGCUGAGGAGCGAAAGCAUGGGGAGCGAACAGG
rnacentral:rRNA from 1 species